rnacentral:rRNA from 1 species
ACUCCUACGGGAGGCAGCAGUGGGGAAUCUUGCGCAAUGGGCGAAAGCCUGACGCAGCAACGCCGCGUGAGCGAAGAAGGCCUUCGGGUCGUAAAGCUCUGUCAAGAGGGAAGAACAGACUUCGGUCCUGACGGUACCUCUGAAGGAAGCACCGGCUAACUCCGUGCCAGCAGCCGCGGUAAUACGGAGGGUGCAAACGUUGUUCGGAAUCAUUGGGCGUAAAGCGCGCGCAGGCUGUUGCGCAGGUCGGGUGUGAAAUUCCGGGGCUCAACCCCGGGUCUGCGCUCGAAACCGCGUAGCUGGAAUGCUGGAGGGGGAAGUGGAAUUCCUGGUGUAGGGGUGAAAUCCGUAGAUAUCAGGAGGAACACCGGCGGCGAAGGCGACUUCCUGGCCAGACAUUGACGCUGAGGCGCGAAAGCGUGGGUAGCGAACAGGAUUAGAAACCCCAGUAGUCC